GACGAACGCUGGCGGCGUGCUUAACACAUGCAAGUCGAACGGGUCUGCCCUGUUUUUUGCGGGGUGGGUCAGUGGCGAACGGGUGAGUAACACGUGAGUAACCUGCCCCUCACUUCUGGAUAACCGCUUGAAAGGGUGGCUAAUACGGGGUGUUCUGGCUGUGCCGCAUGGUGUGGCUGGGAAAGAUUCACUUUUGUGGUGUUUUGGUGGGGGAUGGGCUCGCGGCCUAUCAGCUUGUUGGUGGGGUGAUGGCCUGCCAAGGCUUUGACGGGUAGCCGGCCUGGGAGGGUGGGCGGUCACACUGGGACUGAGACACGGCCCAGACUGCUGCGGGAGGCAGCAGUGGGGGGUAUUGCACAAUGGGCGGAAGCCUGAUGCAGCGACGUCGCGUGAGGGAUGGAGGCCUGCGGGUUGUGAACCUCUUUCGCCGGUGAAGAAGGUCCUGCUCUUUGGGGUGGGGUUGACGGUAGCCGGGUUAUGAAGCGCCGGCUAACUACGUG
rnacentral:rRNA from 1 species